rnacentral:lncRNA from 1 species
GCCCACUUCGCCAUUUUCCUCCGGAAGUGCGGAUCCCAGCGGCGGUCGUGUAGCUGAGCAGGCCUGGGGCUUGGUUCUAUGUCCCUGUGGCUAUGUUUCCAGUGUCCUCUGGGUGUUUCCAAGAGCAACAAGAAACGAAUAAAUCUCUGAUGGAUUUUCCCUCUUGUUGCCCAGGCUGGAGUGCAAUGGUGUGAUCUCGGUUCACUGCAACCCCCUGCCUCCCGGGUUCAAGCGAUUCUCCUGCCCCAGCCUCCUGAGUAGCUGGGAUUAGAGGCAUGUGCCACCAUGCCCAGCUAAUUUUGUGUUUUUAGUAGAGACGGGGUUUUUCCUUGUAGGUCAGGCUGGCCCUGAACUCCUGACCUCAGGUGAUCCACCUGCCUCAGCCUCCCCAAGUGUUGGGAUUACAGGCAUGAGCCACUGCACCUGGCCAUUUUUUUUUAAAGAUUGCGUCUUGCUCUGUCACCCUCCUCACCACAUUAUAGCUCUGGGGGCCAAGCUGCAUCACAAUGGAAAAUCAUGGAAUCACAGGAAGAAUCCACUCAGCUUUGCAAGAUGCUGCCCAAGGGGUUGCUUGGAGUAACCAAAUUAACAUUUUUCAUUCUGCCCAGAGCAAAAUACAUGUGACAAAACAUAGACACGUGCCACUUUGCUCAGCACCCAGUAUCAAACUGGUAAGACUCAAACUUGCUCCCAGAUGGGCGGUGCCAUCUCUAAAUCUUUUUAGAAGCUUCUGCAUAUUAAUAGGCAUCCCUAGAUGAGACUAAUUUGGGAACCCUCAUUUUUAAAUGCACUUCAGGGCAUUAUUCAUUUGAAAUGUUCCACUGUAAGUUAUCUUAAUAAGAUUUUGCCAUUUCUGUAAGACUUUGCUGCUUCCCAGGCCUAAUGUAUUAGCCAGAAGGAGCUUAGUUUUCCAGAAAUUAAGGAUCCUAUUUUUACCUAAAAUAUUGGCUUUACUCCCAGGUUCCCUUCAUUAACUUAGCCAAUGAUUUUUUUUUCCUGCCUAAGCGUGCGAGAAAAAUGAAACAAAGGGGUAGAACACAAAAAUCCCUGUGAAUUUUCAAAAGCCAAAUGUUACAAUCUUCCAAUAUUAUCAUUUACUACCACUUUCCUUCUGACCCAGUCAGAUGUAGGAGGCCUCUAACUGGAACUGGAUUCAAGCCAAUUAACUACUGGAUCAAAUCUGAUCCUGGACCCGGUCCCUUUUCUGUUAUAACUUCUAAAACAUCCAGCCAGUCAUGGCUGGAUAGCAGUUUGGAACAGAAAUUUGCUCAAAGAAACUCAGAGCUCAAAACACAAAUCCAUGGAGCUCUGAAAUCCGAGAGAAAAUUUACCAUGAUCUCCAGCUGCUCCGAGAGAUCAAAGGACACAAGUGUUACAGAAUCCUGAGGUGUCACUUUUCUGCCUGAAACCUCUGGCUGGUGGCACCUUUACCUGUGUUUUGCUCGGGCCCACUGGGUUAGUUCUGUCCACUCAGCUCAUGCUAGUGGUCUGGAUCCCACACCUGCCAAGGGCGAGCUGGGUACAGAGCAGUGAGGGGUGUGUGAGCAAGCGAGCAUGGGAUCUGGCCACUGCACACAGCCAAGCAUGCCAGCUGCAGUGGGGUGGGCAGCUCCAGGCACAGGUGCCAGCUCCCUGUGAGGCUGCAGCUGGACCAGGCCGACUGCAAACAACUUCCACUGUGGGUAUCAGGGAAUGCAGUGGCACCCAGAAGCUUGGAGAUGCAGGACCUGCAGAGCCCCAAAGAAGGUGUCACAGCCCUGGUUGGAGGAGCUCCUAGGUCUGUGUUCCCUGAAGGGACACAGCUCUUCUCUCCUUCUCUCUUCUCUUCUUCUUGCCUGCAAUUUGGCAAGAAAGGAUAGCGUUUCAGCCCUGUUUAUGUUACACCUCUUUCAGCCCUGCUAGUUGGCAGGUCCUGAGUUCUUGUCCUGAGUCCAGGAAAAAUGAGGUAUGUGGACAAGUAGAAGGUGAGCAAGGUGAAGAGGUGCUUUAUUGAGCCACAGUACAGCUCAGAGGAGACCUGCAGUGGGUAGCUCCUUUCUGCAGGCAGGUCAUCCCAACGUCUGUUCAGCUCUCAGCAGCUGAGAGGAGACGCACGGUGGGUAGCUGUGCCCAUAGUGCCCAGGCGUUCGAGCUGAGGAGGGCCUUCCGGCCACUGCUGAGCCACUCUUAGCCACACCUCAGCCUCCCUCCUGUGCUUGCCAGUGCCCAAAUUCUGGAGGGGGCCGAGGUGGCAGGGGGCUGGCAUGUCAGCACUGCCCUGAGCUUGCACAAACCAGGCCAGGUUGUGACUGUGCCCAGGUUUGGCCUCAACUUGGAUCUGAAUUUGGAGUGGGCUCUGGAAGCAGAGAGACGCCAGGUGGCAGGACCAGGUACAACUGAGCCUGCGGGGCAGGGGGGCUUGCUGGGCCUCUGAGAGUGCAGAGAUGCCUGGGUUUGCAGUCAUGGCUGGAUGGCUGCAGCUGUGCCUGGGAGGGCGGGGCUCCUGCCUGAUAAUUUAGAAGGGGCAGGUCUCCCACCCAUUCCUGGCUCCCACCAGCUCUGAGGAGUGCACAGCCCCAGCCACUCCUCCCCACUGCAGCCAGUGUCUCCAUAGCAACUGCUCCACGUGGGCCACUGCUGCCAUCACAAAUGGGUCCUUUCAGGUUCCUUCCUUGUACCUCAGCACUCUGGGGGUCAUUAGAAGGCUUAGCAACACUGCUCACCACAGUAUAGCUCCAGAGGCCCUAGCAGUCCUGCUCCCACGGAUCCCACUUCUGACACCAUCUAUUAAAAGAAAAUCUUCAGCUGAAUUAAAUUUAAAGGAGCUUAAUUGAGCAAUGAAUGAUUCACGAAUCAGGCAGCCCCCAGAAUCACAGCAGAUUCAGUGAGACUCCAGCACAGACACAUGGUGGAAGAUUUAUAGACAAUAAAGGGAACAUGAUGUACAAAAAUCUGAAGUGAGGAGUGAGGUCUAGAAGCAACUGGGUCCAUUACAGUUCUCAGCAGUGAGGUCCAGAAACAACUGGACUGGUUACAGUGCUCAGCAUUUGCCUUAUUUGAACACAGCUGACCACUCAGCAGUGUGUGAGUGGCAGAAGUUUGGCUGUUGGGAUUGGCCAGGACUCAGCUACUGUUUUAGGCACAUACUCCUAAGUUAGGUUUUCAGUCUUUCUACCUAUUAAGUUAGGUUGCAGUUUGUCCACAGGGACUCAAAUCUAGAAGUACAGAGUCCUUCCCAGGCCAUAUUUAGUUCACUGUAACAGUUCCUAUUAUGAC